GUACGCCACAUCACCAGCGUUAAUCAACCGGAUCCCAUCAGAACUCCGCAGUUAAGCGCGCUUCGGCUAGAGUAGUAAUGGGAUGGGUGACCUCCCGGGAAGUCUCAGUGUUGCACCCU
rnacentral:rRNA from 1 species